GCCCGGCGUGGUGGCACUGCCUGUAGUCCCAGCUACCCGGGAGGCUGAAGCUGGAGGAUCGCUUGAGCCCAGGAGUUCUGGGCUGUAGUGCGCUGUGCUGCACUAAGUUCGGCAUCAAUAUGGUGACCUCCCCGGAGCGGGGAACCACCAGGUUGCCUAAGGAGGGGUGAACCGGCCCAGGCUGGAAACGGAGCAGGUAAACAUUCCCGCGCUGAUCAGUAGUGGGCUCGCACCUGUGAAUAGCCACUGCACUCCAGCCUGGGCAACACAGUGAGACCGAGACCCGGU
ensembl:misc_RNA Metazoa_SRP Metazoan signal recognition particle RNA